GACGAACCGUGCGAACGUUGUUCGGAUUCACUGGGCGUAAAGGGUGCGUAGGCGGUCGGGUAAGUCUGAUGUGAAAUCUCACAGCUUAACUGUGAAACUGCAUUGGAUACUAUCCGGCUAGAGGAAUGGAGGGGAGACUGGAAUACUUGGUGUAGCAGUGAAAUGCGUAGAUAUCAAGUGGAACACCAGUGGCGAAGGCGAGUCUCUGGACAUUUCCUGACGCUGAGGCACGAAAGCCAGGGGAGCAAACGGG
rnacentral:rRNA from 1 species